rnacentral:rRNA from 1 species
CAGAUCGCAGUCUGCAACUCGACUGCGUGAAGUUGGAACCGCUGUAAUCGCGGAUCAGCAUGCCGCGGUGAAUACGUUCCCGGGCCUUGUACACACCGCCCGUCACACCAUGAGAGUCGGGAACACCCGAAGCCCGUAGCCUAACUUUAACGAGGGGGCGCGGUCGAAGGUGGGUUCGAUAAUUGGGGUGAAGUCGUAACAAGGUACC